rnacentral:rRNA from 1 species
CCUACGGGGGGCAGCAGUGGGGGAUAUUGCACAAUGGAGGAAACUCUGAUGCAGCGACGCCGCGUGAGGGAAGACGGUCUUCGGAUUGUAAACCUCUGUCUUUGGGGAAGAAAAUGACGGUACCCAAAGAGGAAGCUCCGGCUAACUACGUGCCAGCAGCCGCGGUAAUACGGAGGGUGCGAGCGUUAAUCGGAAUUACUGGGCGUAAAGCGCUCGUAGGCGGUAUGUCAAGUCAAGGGUGAAAUCCCCGCGCUCAACGUGGGAACUGCCUUUGAAACUGGCAAACUGGAGUGUGGGAGAGGAAAGGGGAAUUCCAGGUGUAGGAGUAAAAUCCGGAGAUAUCUGGAGGAACAUCAGUGGCGAAGGCGACUAUAGGGAAAACAACGGACGCGCAGGCACGAAAGCGUGGGUAGCGAACAGGAUGAGAUACCCGGGUAGUC